UCCGUAAUUGCUUAGGUUGUUCAAAUACACAUUUAAUCAAGUUUCAUAAUCUAAACUUGACCACGCGGUUGGCAAGGAUAGAAUUGGGUUUCUCUAAGUCUUAAUGCAGUCAACAGUUGUUCGAUGCUACAAUGCCCCAAGGACGUUCCUUGGCAACUUGUUGAUUAGUGUUUGAUUAGCGAACGUUUCCUAAUCAAACUAGAACUAAGGAGGAAUUUGGAUUGUGAGAAGCGUCUUCCACAACCAAAACUGAUUUAUUGAAAUCAAAUAGGAGUCUUUAAUAAUCAAUGAUCAAUUCUGAACAAACUGAAUUA
rnacentral:lncRNA from 1 species